AUGUCCUGGACCCCUGUCCUGCUGGCGCUCCUGGCCCACUGCACAGGCUCCACGGCCUCCUAUGAACUGACCCAGCCGCCCUCAGUGUCAAUAGCCCUCGGAACAAGGUCAGGAUCACCUCCUCAGGAGGUAAUGUCAUGCAUAAACAUGCAUCUUGGUACCAGCAAAAGCCGGGCCAGGCCCCUGUGUUGUUCGUCUAUGACAAUAGCAACCGGCCCUCAGGGAUCCCUGACCAAUUCUCUGGCUCCAUUCAGGGAACACAACCAUCCUGAUCAUCAGCGGGGACUGGGCCGAGGACGAGGCUAUUACAGUGCCAUCUACCGUGGCGGUGGGAGCCGUGACUCAUGGUGACGUGACAGACGGGGACUCAAGGCACGAAACUGCCCACCCCAGCCACCCCAGCCUGGUGUUCACAGUCCACACCCACUCCUCCCCUGCCACCUCCACCCUGGACCAAGAAGGACCUGGGGCUGUCCUCGGGGGAACCACAGCUUCUGGGCGCCGGGCAGUGGGGCACAUGAGGCCCAGGACAGGCCAGUGGGGCUGUGAGGCCCGCAGGGGUCAGAGCUGUGUCCCCAGGCACAACUGGCCUCUAAUAGUGCUGGGCCUGGCCGUGGGCGCCCAUGGCCUGCUGCCCCUGACGCCAGCACCGCGGAGCACGGCCCCCCACGAGGAAACCCUGGCAGGAAGCAGCCCUUGGAACCCCUGGCACAGGUCCCCGCUCCGGCCUGGCCCCCGGAGGACAGGCCCCAGGUGCUGGCCCGACGGCUUUUGGUCCGAGUCUCAGUCACCAUUGUUCACCUUUGGCGGCGGGACCCAGCUCACCGUCCUAGGUCAGCCCACGUCUGCGCCCUCGGUCACUCUGUUCGCGCCCUCCACUGAGGAGCUCAAGGCCAACAAGGCCACCCUGGUGUGUCUCAUCAAUGACUUCUACCCGGGCAGCGUGAAGGUGGCCUGGAAGGCAGGCAGCACCACCAUCACCAGGGGCGUGGAGACCAGCCAGCCCUCGAAACAGAGCAACAGCAAGUACGCGGCCAGCAGCUACCUGGCCCUGACGGCCGGCGAGUGGAAAUCUUACGACAGGGUCAGCUGCCAGGUCACGCACGAGGGGAGCACUGUGGAGAAGACAGUGGCGUCCUCAGGGUGCCCUUAG